CUCUAUUAAAGAUUUUGUUGAUUUUCUAUCUGAGUUAGUACAGGCAGCAGAUAAAGUCGUAAUUGUUGUUGAUUUUUGUUGUGUUCUUUUGUGCAUAUUGGCCAGUAGGUGGAAAUAGAGGUUCAUGAUAUACGUUUAGUUGAAUAGAGAAGAAGGAGGGAGUCCGAAGCAUCCCACCUGCUACUGCGUGUGCUGUACCACUCUGCUAUUUAAUUUGGUUAAAUAAAGGAUCUUGAUGUUCGAAUGCCUCCUCAUUGCUUCUUACAAAGGAUAUAACAAUUGGCGACGAGGUAUUUUUUUACUUGAGGAUGGCAGCUGUUUCUACUUUUCCCACGCCAUUUUUACCAUGUCCUGGAGAACCAACUAUUCCGUUUGACACGUGGCUGUGGAUGUUCCAGAACUAUUUGCUCGUUGUUGGUGCUUCUGGAGAUGCAUGGCCGGUCGAACGAAAACGAGCACUGCUUCUACAUUGUCUCGGGACUGAAGGCCAGAGGUUGUUCUAUACCUUGCCGAACCAAGGUGAUUCGAUGGAGGAUGCGAUCGCGACCUUGAAAGCGCACUUUGCUCCUCGACGGAACAUAGUGGCUGAGCGUCAUGCUUUCAGGAAACGUAUUCAGGUACCAGGAGAAACCAUACUUCAGUACGUAGCUGCUCUAAGGGACUUAGCGGCUACUUGUGACUUUGCAGCUACUCUGGAUGACAUGUUGCGUGAUCAGCUGGUGGAGAAUGUGUCCAGUCAUCGCAUUCGUGAGAGAUUGCUUUUGGAAUCUGAAUUGACUCUUGAAAAGGCCAUUACUAUUGCAACUCAAACAGAAGCUGCUGGUGAACAAGCCAAAUUAUUAUCGAGUAAUCGCUCAGUUCCUGUGCAAGUGAUAAAUGCAAAGUCUCCACCUGCAGCUGCACGUCACCGUUGGAGACCACCUUCAAAGCCAGCGUCUACAGUGCGUUCUUCAAAGCCAUCAUUUACGGCACCUGUUUCGUCGUUCCGUGAAUGUUAUCGGUGUGGAUCUAGGAAACACCUCGCGAAUGACCGUAGUUGUCCUGCUGCAUCGGCACAGUGUAAUAACUGUCAAAAAAAUGGGACAUUAUUCACGAGUCUGUCGCUCGGGACAAGCUCGCUCAGUGCGUGAAAUUGACUUACCUGAG
ensembl:lncRNA